rnacentral:lncRNA from 1 species
CUGAGAGUUGGGAAAGAAAGGAUUAAAGAACUGACUGGGCUGUGAUGAUGAAUGAAUCCUUUCCUUUGGAAAGGCAAGUAAAGCAAGUGGGACUUCAGCAAACUCUAUUUUCUUCCUGGGAUCCUCAUGGAGGGACACAAUUGAACUCUGCAUAAGAAUGAUAUAAGCUAUUUCUACACUUCUAAAUGCAUCCACCCAAGGGAAUGAUUCCUGGCUCCAAAGUGGUGCAGAUUGCAUCCACAUACCCUGUUUAAGGCUGGAUGUCCACAGAACAGCACUUCUUUGCAGCAGAGAGUUCUCUGCACCUCUUCCUGUGGGCAGAGAGCAUGAGUAGAUGGUCUGCACUCAACCUUGCUCUUUGUAACAUGAUGGAACCAAAGAAAUCUCUCUUCUGCCAGACAGUAAGAACCUAGGUUGCUGGGACAACAUGCCAACUGCAAAAAAACCCUUAAAAUAAAGGUGGCUCAUUUCCAAG